rnacentral:rRNA from 1 species
UACGUAGGGAGCGAGCGUUGUCCGGAAUUACUGGGCGUAAAGGGCGCGUAGGCGGGAAAUUAAGUCAGGUGUGAAAACUCCGAGCUCAACUUGGAGAUUGCACUUGAAACUGGUAUUCUUGAGGGCAGGAGAGGAAAGUGGAAUUCCUAGUGUAGCGGUGAAAUGCGUAGAUAUUAGGAAGAACACCAGUGGCGAAGGCGACUCUCUGGGUUAACACUGACGCUGAGGUACGAAAGCUGGGGGAGCGAACGGGAUUAGAUACCCCGGUAGUCCCAGCCGUAAGCGAUGGAUACUAGGUGUUGGAGGUUCGAAUCCUUCAGUGCCGGAGUUAACGCAUUAAGUAUCCCGCCUGGGGAUUACGAUCGCAAGAUUGAA